rnacentral:lncRNA from 12 species
GGUGAGGUUUUCCUUCUAGUCAUUUUGCUCAGUGCAGAGUGGCCAAAAGCAAGUUGUAUUGGGAAAAAGAGAAAAAGAGAGGAGAGAAAGAAGGAAAGAAAAGAGAAAGAGAAAAAAAAGGGAAGAAAAAAAACGAAAAAAAAAAAGAAAAAGAGAAAGAAAAAGAAAGGAGAAAAAAAAAGGGGGUGGGGGGAAGGAAACAAAUCAAAAAGCAAAACAAAACAAAACAAAACAAAACAAAAAAGAACCACCGGGGAGUAUCUUCUGAUUCUGUGUACUUUAAGUCCCUUGGCUUCUCCUGGAAGUUGUCCGUCUAGCUGGUCUUCUGGGGGAGGGGCCUGUUGUGCUGAUUUUCAGGUGUUAGCACUUGGGGGAGCUGCUGUGCCCCUGCCUGGUGCAGGGCUCAGUGGGGGUUGUUUACCCCGUGAGGCCGCAGGAGGAACAGCCCCAGUGGCGGGGCAGCUCUGGAGCCCUGGAUUCAGCUCCGGCAGGAACUCCGUCUGCAGGGCCUGGAGGCUCCGGGGCGGGGCCGCUGAUCUGCUCAGCUGGGGCAGGAGCGUCCUCGCUGUCCUGGGCCCUCCCGGCCUCUGCCUGUCCCGGGGGGGCCGGAUCCUGGGCUGUGUCCCGGCGCCCUGUGCUCCGGGGUCUGCGCUGGAUUCGCGCUCCCGGGCCGUGCAACCCCCUCCGUGGAGCCGCCGCCCGAGCCCUCCGAGCUACUCUUGGAACCGCGCAGCCCCCUCCGCACGGAGCCUCUUCCUCUGCCCAAGCCCGUCCGAGCUGCUCCCGGGGCCGUGCAGCCCCCUUCGCGGAGCCGCCGCCCGAGCCCCUCCGAGCUGCUCCGGGUCCCGCCGGGUCCCCCCGUGCGCGCUGCAGCCCUUAGGGAGCUCGGCGCACUCUCCUGGGCGCGCAGUUGCUCUGUUACUGUCUCAGGGAACCCGAGGGCAUCCCCGCCCUCCUGAGUCCUGCUCCAACUCCCCACGAGCCCCUUUCCCCCGGGAAGGUCGGUGCAGCUCCUGCUCCUCCGGGACAGGGCUCUCCUGUCCUGGGGACACUCGCCCCGGCCUCAGCCCGGCUCCUCGCGGGGCCCCUCCCCCUUGGAGGCCUUUGUUUCUUUACUUCUUUUUCCCCGUCUUCCUACCUUGA